AAACCAAGCAGAAUUCACGGGGUAUUUCGGUGGCGAUUCGGCACCUGCUAAAAAAAACCCACGACGAGCUGAAGUGAGUUUUAAAAACCCCCACCUCAGGUUCAGGCCUUUGUCUGGUUAGUGCAGCGGCGAGGAAUCGACAGGCUUGCCUGGGGCUUUCCUUCAGCGGCCGUGUGCGCUGCGGCGUAAGCCCUGCGCGGGCGACACCGGCCACAUGCGCACACAAACAAAACAAGCGCACACGUUACUGACACCUAACUCCGCAGCUGUGCCUGGAAAGUUCACACCCCGGCGAGGGCAAAUAUGCUGCAGUGUCACCUUUUGCAGAAGAUAACGCACCAGGAGCAGAGGGGUCGGAAACCGUGCGUGGGUCACUGCAGCAGCCGCACGGAGUUGACGUGAAGAUGGUAGACGAAGUCGGCGUAGGACGCCCCUCCGUUGGGACUCUUGUCCUCCACCAGGUGGCGCUGCAGAGCCUCCUCGCAGGCGUCACCCUGCUUCACCACCCACAGCUGGGAGAGAAGGACACACGGCCUUGUCAGCGGCUACAAGAAGUGGCGUCAUCCGUCAACACCCGCUUUGAUUCUGGUGCGGAUGUGCAGGUUUCACCUGUAACUCAGUAAAAAUGUGAUGAAGACAAACUCCUGCGUGUUGACCGUACUGACCAGAGGCAGCAGCAGAGGGUAGAAGUGUGUGGCGGUGCUGCAGGUGU